AUUGAACGCUGGCGGCAUGCCUUACACAUGCAAGUCGAACGGCAGCACGGGUGCUUGCACCUGGUGGCGAAUGGCGAACGGGUGAGUAAUACAUCGGAACGUACCUUAUCGUGGGGGAUAACGCAGCGAAAGCUGUGCUAAUACCGCAUACGCCCUGAGGGGGAAAGCGGGGGAUCGAAAGACCUCGCGCGAUUAGAGCGGCCGAUGCCUGAUUAGCUUGUUGGUGGGGUAAAAGCCCACCAAGGCGACGAUCAGUAGCUGGUCUGAGAGGACGAUCAGCCAAACUGGGACUGAGACACGGCCCAGACUCCUACGGGAGGCAGCAGUGGGGAAGUUUGGACAAUGGGGGCAACCCUGAUCCAGCAAUGCCGCGUGAGUGAAGAAGGCCUUCGGGUUGUAAAGCUCUUUUGUCAGGGAAGAAACACCGGCUCUAACACAGUCCGGGAAUGACGGUACCUGAAGAAUAAGCACCGGCUAACUACGUGCCAGCAGCCGCUGUAA
rnacentral:rRNA from 1 species